rnacentral:lncRNA from 1 species
AUGAUGGAAAUCCAUGAUCUAUCAAAAACACCUUACGGUGGUAAGACACCCCAUGGGGGGCAUCUGAGCAUGCUGCAGGAAUCUGGGGGUGACUCCUGGGCGGAGAAGCCCAGCCCUGGCAGGAGUGCCACACUCCACUGUGAUGCGGAGGCUUGCGCCUGUCUCCAGGACAGUGUGGCUGUGGUCAGGAGGUGUCCUGCCCCGGGUCCUCCGGGAGGUGUGUUGAGGUGGCUCCACCCCCAUACACGGACCAGCACUGUCCCUGGAGUGAGGGAUUCUCUUUCGGGACAGGACUGAUUGCCAGAAGAUGGGUUGUUGCAAAACAGGCUUCCUUUUGUUCGUGCAUGCCUAUUUCCCCUUUCUCUUCCUACCACAAGUUGAAGCUGCAGGGUGCCCGCAUCAGAUGCCGCUGCCCUAUCUCAAACUUCCCAGCCUCCUGAACUGGACACUGUCCUCUUCGCCGUUGCGGGAGUUGCCGAGGACUGCGUUGUUUAGUAACCAGCACGCCCCUGCCCUCCCCCUGGAUGCGUCUCCCUUGCCUCGGUGCUCAUGUCCUCCACCAGCUCUGCUCCUCCAGCAGCUGCUCCCCACUGUGAUCCCCACCGCCCGCCUGCGCCUGCUGGGAGGAGUCUGCAGGGGCCGCACUCGCUGUCCUUUGGCGCCUCCGUGAAGGCGCAGGCCGUGCAGACCAUGCAGGCCGCGCCCAGCCCAGCAUGCCGUCUCCCUACGCCUUCGGAUCUUCCUCCAUGCCGGGGAGCCCUCCAAUCCCAGCGCGACUAAGCACAGGCCACUUUGGGUUCAUGUUCCUGUUGCAAGUCCAGUCCAGUACGCUGCUAAGUGAAGAUGUUCCGUCUGGGCUCUGUAGCCACUGUGCCUGCCCCAUCCAAGAGGGUCCCCUCACAUCUGUGGCCAACACCCUUAGCAUCCACGCCCACACGGCCUGGGGCUUCUGCUGCCUGUGUCCCGUGGCCGUCCAGUACCAGCUGCCGUCAG